rnacentral:rRNA from 1 species
GACGAACGCUGGCGGCGUGCCUAAUACAUGCAAGUAGGACGCAGUUGCGAACGGGUGAGUAACGCGUAGGUAACUACCUAUUAGAGGGGGAUAACUAUUGGAAACGAUAGCUAAUACCGCCUACUAGUAGAUGGACCUGCGUUGUAUUAGCUAGUAGGUAGGGUAAUGGCCUACCUAGGCAACGAUACAUAGCCGACGCGAGAGGGUGAUCGGCCACACCGGGACUGAGAAAAGGCCCAGAAUCCUUCGGGAGGCAGCAGGAGGGAAUCUUCGGCAAUGGGGGGAACGCUGACCGAGCAACGCCGCGGGAGGGAAGGAGGUUUUCUGAUCGGAAAGCUCUGUUGUUAAGGGAGCGGUACUUAACCAGAAAGGGACGGCUAACUACGUGCCAGCAGCCGCGGUAAUAC